rnacentral:rRNA from 1 species
GACGAACGCUGGCGGCGUGCUUAACACAUGCAAGUCGAACGGAAAGGCCCUGCUUUUGUGGGGUGCUCGAGUGGCGAACGGGUGAGUAACACGUGAGUAACCUGCCCUUGACUUUGGGAUAACUUCAGGAAACUGGGGCUAAUACCGGAUAGGAGCUCCUGCUGCAUGGUGGGGGUUGGAAAGUUUCGGCGGUUGGGGAUGGACUCGCGGCUUAUCAGCUUGUUGGUGGGGUAGUGGCUUACCAAGGCUUUGACGGGUAGCCGGCCUGAGAGGGUGACCGGCCGCAUUGGGACUGAGAUACGGCCCAGACUCCUACGGGAGGCAGCAGUGGGGAAUAUUGCACAAUGGGCGGAAGCCUGAUGCAGCAACGCCGCGUGCGGGAUGACGGCCUUCGGGUUGUAAACCGCUUUCGCCUGCGACGAAGCGUGAGUGACGGUAAUGGGUAAAGAAGCACCGGCUAACUACGUG